AAAUUUAGGUAGUUUAUAAAAAUAUUAAUUUGUGGGAUUAAAGUAAUCUUUUUGAUUCUAAAUA
rnacentral:tRNA from 1 species